rnacentral:rRNA from 1 species
UUGCCCCUACGGGGGGCAGCAGUGAGGAAUAUUGGUCAAUGGCCGAGAGGCUGAACCAGCCAAGUCGCGUGAGGGAAGACGGCCCUACGGGUUGUAAACCUCUUUUGUCGGGGAGCAAAGCGAACCACGUGUGGUUCAUUGAGAGUACCCGAAGAAAAAGCAUCGGCUAACUCCGUGCCAGCAGCCGCGUUAAUACGGAGGAUGCGAGCGUUAUCCUGAUUUAUUGGGUUUAAAGGUUGCUCAGUCG